rnacentral:tRNA from 1 species
GCCCGUUGACCAGACGUCACCACCUGACCGAAAACGCCAAAAACCACCUCUGACCUGCCUCCGGAGCAGAAGGCCGCAGGUUCGAAUCCUGCCGAGGGCA